UACGUAGGGUGCAAGCGUUAUCCGGAAUUAUUGGGCGUAAAGAGCUCGUAGGCGGUUUGUCGCGUCUGCUGUGAAAACUGGAGGCUCAACCUCCAGCCUGCAGUGGGUACGGGCAAACUAGAGUGCGGUAGGGGAGAUUGGAAUUCCUGGUGUAGCGGUGGAAUGCGCAGAUAUCAGGAGGAACACCCGUGGCGAAAGCGGCUCUCUGGAACGGUACUGACGCUGAGACGCGAAAGCGUGGGGAGCGAACAGG
rnacentral:rRNA from 1 species